UCAGCCGGUACUGAUUGAUAGAUUUCACCUUACCCAUCCCUUGCCCUGCUAGACCAUACCCGUUUUCAGCCAUGAGAGAGCUUCUGUGCGCGGUCGGAGUGGUCCCGACGAGGGUUUACCCGAAGUCGGGGCGUAUCUCCGCGUUAGCGGGCCGUCAGGGCCGCUUACGAGCGUGUACU
rnacentral:rRNA from 1 species